ACAGUUGUUAGCUGCCAUAUGGGUUCUGGGAUUUGAACCCGGGUCUUCUGCAAGAACAACCAGUGUUCUUAACCGCCAAGCCAUCUCUCCAGCCCCGAGAUGCCCCUUUCUUAUAUGGAAUCAAAAUAGUGUCAUGACCAAAAUUGGAAGACAAACAUGUCUGUCCUGGAUGGACUUCGAAUCUUACAAGAGAUUCAACAGCGUCUGGUGCCUGGGGCUUGGCAAUAGACCUUCCAUACUCUUGUUGCUCAACUGUGCCUUGCCUUGAGAAGCAUUUGACUCUGUUUUGAAGAUGGAGGAUGACUGCACCUGAGUGGACAUAUAAAGAAAUAUCAUCAGUUCAGUUCUACCUACAAGGCACAGACCGAUAACUAAUUCUA